UACAGAGGUCUCAAGCGUUGUUCGGAUUCAUUGGGCGUAAAGGGCGUGUAGGCGGCGCGCUAAGUCGGGUGUGAAAUUUCGGAGCUUAACUCCGAAACUGCAUUCGAUACUGGCGUGCUUGAGGACUGGAGAGGAGACUGGAAUUCAUGGUGUAGCAGUGAAAUGCGUAGAGAUCAUGAGGAAGACCAGUGGCGAAGGCGGGUCUCUGGACAGUUCCUGACGCUGAGGCACGAAGGUCAGGGGAGCAAACGGG
rnacentral:rRNA from 1 species